UGAGGAAUAUUGGUCAAUGGGCGUAAGCCUGAACCAGCCAAGCCGCGUGAGGGAAGAAGGUACAGCGUAUCGUAAACCUCUUUUGCCGGGGAACAAGAGCUUCCACGAGUGGGAGUGUGAGCGUACCCGGAGAAAAAGCAUCGGCUAACUCCGUGCCAGCAGCCGCGGUAAUACGGAGGAUACGAGCGUUAUCCGGAUUUAUUGGGUUUAAAGGGAGCGUAGAUGGAUGUUUAAGUCAGUUGUGAAAGUUUGCGGCUCAACCGUAAAAUUGCAGUUGAUACUGGAUAUCUUGAGUGCAGUUGAGGCAGGCGGAAUUCGUGGUGUAGCGGUGAAAUGCUUAGAUAUCGCGCAGAACCCCGAUUGCGAAGGCAGCCUGCCGGCUCCACACUGACGCUGAGGCNCGAAAGCGUGGGUAUCGAA
rnacentral:rRNA from 1 species